ensembl:lncRNA
AAGGGUCAGACUCAUCAUACCCUUUAGACUCUGGCUCCUGACACACUGCUCACUCCGGCGGGUGCCUGAUCUUUUGCCGCAGUUCCUGCUAUGAUAUCAUGUGUCAUAGGAUUUCUUUCCCUUUGUACCUCGGCUUCCAGCGCUUGACACCAAAUUCUCCUUAUGAAGCAAACCCUGUAACCAGUCUGGAUCUCCUUCAGAAGAUGGUCUAUACAUUUAUAUUACAGGGAACUGGAAUGCAAAAGUAGGAUCAAGAAAUACCUGGAGUAACAGGCAAAUUUGGCCUUGGAGUACAGAAUGAAAUGGCAAAUUUUAAUAAAGUCUCGCCAGUAGAACGCACUGGUCAUAGCAAACACCCUUUUUCAACAUAAGAGAAGACUCUACAUAUGGACAUCACCAGAUGGUCAAUACUGAAAUCAGAUUGAUUACAUUCUUUGCACCCAAUAAUGGAGAAGCUAUAUACAGUCAGCAAAAACAAGACUGGGAGCUAACUGUGGCUCAGAUCAGAAAUCCUUAUUGCCAAAUUCAGACUGAAAUUGAAGAAGGUAGGGAAAACCACUAGACCAUUCAGGUAUGACCUAAAUCAAAUCCCUUAUGAUUAUACAGUGGAAGUGACAAAUAGAUUCAAGGGAUUAGAUCUUACAGACAGAGUGCCUGAUGAGCUAUGGAUGGAGGUUCGUGACAUUGUACAGGAGGCAGGGAUCAAGACGAUCCCUAAGAGAAAGAAAUGCAAAAAAGGCAAAAUGGCUGUCUGAGGAGGUCUUACAAAGAGCU